rnacentral:rRNA from 1 species
UACGGAGGGUGCAAGCGUUGUCCGGAUUUAUUGGGUUUAAAGGGUGCGUAGGCGGUUAAUUAAGUCAGUGGUGAAAUCCUGGAGCUCAACUUCAGAACUGCCAUUGAUACUGGUUGACUUGAGUACAGACGAGGUUGGCGGAAUUGACGGUGUAGCGGUGAAAUGCUUAGAUAUCGUCAAGAACACCGAUAGCGAAGGCAGCUUACUAGGCUGUAACUGACGCUGAGGCACGAAAGUGUGGGGAUCAAACAGG